rnacentral:lncRNA from 1 species
UUGUGUGCUUGCAUCCAAUUGUGAUAAGCCUAUGUAUCUCUAGUUGGUAGAGGUCCUUUAUGUUUAACACUAAACUGACCUAAUUAAGAUUGAUGACAAGAAACUAGGGGACUGGGCAGGGCUCUGUAAAACCAAAGGAUAAAAUCCUAUAAAGUGAUUGAGUGCAGUUUUGUAGUAUUUAAGGACUGUGGUAAUCUGAGGAUAUGGAUUUCAUUAAAGAGUACUUCAAAUGCAA